AGCAAGAUAAUGCACGACCUCACAUUUCACCUGAUGAUAGGUUAUUUUGUGAUGCUGCUAAGGAAGAUGGGUUUGAUAUCAGGAUUAAAUGCCGACCAGCAAACUCACCUGAUUUUAAUAUCUUAGAUCUAGGCUUCUUUAAUUCCAUUCAGUCCAUUCAAUACAAAAAAACAUCAACAAAAACAGAAGAACUUGUAGCUGCUGUUGACCAGGCAUUUCAAAAUUAUCCAGUAUGCAAGGCAAAUAGAAUUUUCUUGACUCUCCAUGCUUGCAUGAAGGAAGUCAUCAGGAUCCAUAGUGGCAAUGCAUAUAAUGUUCCACAUAUUAGAAAAGGGAUGCUUGAAAGACAGGGUCAUCUUCCUUUGCAACUGAACUGUGAUCCCUCGUUGGUACAGGAUGCAAUGAUACAAAUCAAUGAAUGAUGUAGCUUUGGGAGGUUAUGUGUGCAUCCAUUUUAGGACAAUGAUAGUUACUCCUAGUUAGCUGAUGCAAGAAGUAGGGGGAGCCAAGGCUGCAGGGCAAGAG